rnacentral:rRNA from 1 species
CACGUAGUUAGCCGGUGCUUCUUUACCCAUUACCGUCACUCACGCUUCGUCACGGGCGAAAGCGGUUUACAACCCGAAGGCCGUCAUCCCGCACGCGGCGUUGCUGCAUCAGGCUUCCGCCCAUUGUGCAAUAUUCCCCACUGCUGCCUCCCGUAGGAGUCUGGGCCGUAUCUCAGUCCCAAUGUGGCCGGUCGCCCCCUCAGGCCGGCUACCCGUCAAAGCCUUGGUAAGCCACUACCCCACCAACAAGCUGAUAAGCCGCGAGUCCAUCCCCAACCGCCGAAACUUUCCAACCCCCACCAUGCAGCAGGAGCUCCUAUCCGGUAUUAGCCCCAGUUUCCUGAAGUUAUCCCAAAGUCAAGGGCAGGUUACUCACGUGUUACUCACCCGUUCGCCACUCGAGCACCCCACAAAAGCAGGGCCUUUCCGUUCGACUUGCAUGUGUUAAGCACGCCGCCAGCGUCGUCUCGAGCACGAGUCGAACUACUACUCGAGACUACGCACGACGACACACGGAGUAGA